CGGGUGGAGUUUCUUGUUGUUCCCACGGCCAUCCUGGCGUUCCUGGUCAACCAUGAUUUUACCCCUCUAGAGAUCCUCUGGACCUUCUCCAUCUACCUGGAGUCGGUAGCCAUCCUGCCCCAGCUGUUCAUGGUGAGCAAGACGGGAGAGGCCGAGACGAUCACCAGCCACUACUUGUUCGCGCUGGGCGUCUACCGCACGCUCUAUCUCUUCAACUGGAUCUGGCGCUACCACUUCGAGGGCUUCUUUGACCUCAUCGCCAUUGUGGCGGGCCUAGUCCAGACUGUCCUCUACUGCGAUUUCUUCUACCUCUACAUCACCAGAGUCCUGAAGGGGAAGAAGCUGAGUUUGCCGGCAUAGCCCUGGGCCCGGCCAUCCCUCUCCUCGGCGGCCCGCGAGAGGUGGAGGAAGGCAGCAAACAACGAAGAGCCUUCCCGUCCAGGGGUGACUUUUUAAAGAACCAACCUCUCCGCACUCCCUGGCCCCCCUCCUGCCGGGUUUCAGGGGGCGGUGGAGGACCCAAGUCUUGGGGAGCUCAGGACCUGGGGUGUUUGUAGUUUUUUGCCUUUUAGAGAAGAAAAAAAAAUCUUUCCACUAUUUAGUUUUUGAUUCUGAUGACUCCUUUCUCUUCUACUCCCUGGCCCCUGAUUUUUAUAAACUGUUUUUGAGUGUCCUGUGGGGUGGGGCAGGGUCGGAGAUCUUUUCCCUCCCCCAAAGCCCCUCGACUCCCUUGCAGACCCUAACCCCCAGCCCUGCCCGUUGCCAAACACUAAACCUGCACACACCCACCUGUCUGACCUCCCAUCGUGGCCAAGAACGCAGCCUCCCCACCAAACCCCUCAAAGUUCAGGAUUGGGGAGAGGGAGGAGGGGAGGGACGGUCUCCCUGACUUUUCAAUAUAAUUUUUUUCCAGAGUUUGGGGUUUUUUGGUCUUGUCCUCAUUUUUUGACAAUUUAGCGGGGGACGAGGGGGCCAGACGUGGCAAAGGGGGUUGGCCUGAGGGUCACUGUGGCUCAACAGCCACAUUUUUGUACAGAAUUGAUGGUUGAUUCUUUGUUCUCUUGAAAUAAACCGAGGAAAAUGAAAAAAA